AUGAACGCUGGCGGCGUGCCUACUACAUGCAAGUAGAACGCUGAAGGAGGAGCUUGCUCUUCUGGAUGAGUUGCGAACGGGUGAGUAACGCGUAGGUAACCUGCCUGGUAGCGGGGGAUAACUAUUGGAAACGAUAGCUAAUACCGCAUGACAACAGUUAUUGCAUGAUAACUGUUUAAAAGGGGCAACUGCUCCACUACCAGAUGGACCUGCGUUGUAUUAGCUAGUUGGUGAGGUAACGGCUCACCAAGGCGACGAUACAUAGCCGACCUGAGAGGGUGAUCGGCCACACUGGGACUGAGACACGGCCCAGACUCCUACGGGAGGCAGCAGUAGGGAAUCUUCGGCAAUAGACGGAAGUCUGACCGAGCAACGCCGCGUGAGUGAAGAAGGUUUUCGGAUCGUAAAGCUCUGUUGUAAGAGAAGAACGAGUGUGAGAGUGGAAAGUUCACACUGUGACGGUAUCUUACCAGAAAGGGACGGCUAACUACGUG
rnacentral:rRNA from 1 species